AUAUAGCAUAUAAAUCAUAUAUACAAAUCAAACAUUUACUUGUUCUAAGUCGUAAGUAAGUUUAUUUUAAAACAAUUCUCUGGUAUGAAUAUAACUUUACGAUUCACUAAAGAUUAAUACAAAGUUGCAUAUUAAUGGGGUGUAUUGCUUAUUUGUUUUUACACACAGCAUUAAGUCUUUGCUAGCUAUUUGAUACUGUGAGAUAUACAGUAUCUUCAAUGUUUUCCAGAGGGGCUCAAUAUUUAGAUUUUAUAAUCAUUGAUACUGAAAACACUACCUCACAUAAAUAUGUAAUAGAAAAUGGCAGAAGUAUGUUUAGGACCGUUUUAGAAAUUGUUGGAAAAUCUUUCCUAAUCCCAAGCCAAAAUUCAGUGAACAAAUUUUUAAGAAAAGUCAAUAACACUAACAGAAAAUUUCAAAAUCAGACAUUCUAACACAACACAAUAAGAAGAGAUACUGAUUCUAUCCAUGCUGAAGAGUAAUGCUAAAAAAUAUUGUAAGCACUUGCCUGCCACAAUUAAAGCAUCAUGGGAACCACAACUUUGCAUGUACAGAAAAACACCACAGCAAUGGCAUACAAUGUCCCAGGCAGGUGAUGGGUAAUAUGAGGGCAUAUGUAGAACAAAGUACAUGGUAUGUGCUCAGAACCACAGCUGCAGGGGAGCCAUGCACAUAACACCUCACAUUUGUGAUGCUUCAUUUUCAGAGAAUUUUUGGCUGCUGGAUGUUCAGAAACCUCAUCCUGCUGUCAAAGUAUCCCACAAUCCCCACAUUUGGCCAUGUGAUCUGAAAUGGAGUCAUGACCCACAGUUUUAAGGAGCCACGGAUUACAGAUACUACCAUUCUGCUCUGCUCACUCUCACUAUCAAAGGUCACACCUACUGACCUACAAACACAGGAGCUGAGCUUGGUGCAACGAAGCAAGUGAGUGUCUUGUGACAACUGUGGAACUGCUCCCAGGACAAUCAGCUGAAGUGAGAUGAGAAAUUCAAGUCCAAAAUGGCAAACAACUUGGCCAAAUCACGUGGGGUUGGAAGAGGAACUGGGGUUAGUAGCCAAGACUCAGGUCUCUGCUGCCCUGCUUCAGAGUAGGCACAGGGUCAGGGAGGACUUGCUGGUGCCUGGCAGAGAAAUAGAGAAGGUUGAUGGCAUCAGUCUUCUCCAGGAACAGCUGAGGGAGAUCAAGAGCAACAGCCCAGGUGACCCUGAAAAGCUGCACCUUAAGAAGGUGACUGAUUGGGCCGUGGAUGUUCGUGUGCAGCAAAGACAGAAGUGAGGCUGGCCCAUUUCACAUUGUUCCCCCUUCAACCACAGCCAGGAUUCUCAUGUGUGCCUCUAGUCUUCAGGAAAGAACCAGACUGUUCCACGCCCUGUCAGUGUGUGUGUGUGUGUGUGUGUGUGUGUGUGUGUGUGUGUGUGUGUGUGCACGCACGUGCAUACAGGAUUCCCCACACGUGCUGAGAACAUCUAGAUCUCAAUGAUCAUCAGAGCUAGUGAGUCAGAGUCUUGGAGGAGGUGUGCCCCAAGGCAGAAGCUCUCCAGGGAUGCAGUUUUCAUCCACCAAGAACCACUUCCCUCCAGCUUGGAUAUGAGACAACAGCAUGCAUCUGGAAUGCCCAAGUGCUUGUAAAAGAUUAUUACUAAGUAAGAGUGGAUGAUGAUAAUUAAUUACCCUCCAUUAAAGAGAAAGUCCCUGGAGCAGAUGCAUCAAAGGCAAUAUUCCGCUGAGUCGGCAAUUUCUUUGACUAUGCAAUAGGAUGACUCCUUGGCCUUCAUCAUGUGCCUGGUUUGUCCUCUCCAAUUCUGACUUGAACAAUGCCUCUUGACUUUGGACAACUUUUAGUUCCCAUCUUUUCCCUAGCCACAAUCCAGUAAUCAUUAUUAUUAAAAACUUACUCCAAGGUCACAAACCCAUUUCACAGCACUCCUUUGAUAGGAUAAUUCAUGGCUACACUCUAAAGUCCAAAUUAAAGGAAAGACACUCUUAGUAAAGAGAAAAAUCUCUCUACCAUUCAACAUGGAGGAAACUAUGACAAAUAGACAUCUAAAGAGAUGCUCCAUCUCCUGCACAAAUCACCAGUAGGGGAGGAGUUGUCAUAACAAAAAAACAUGGCAUGGCUCCAGAAGAAGUCCAAAAGCCAGCUCAACUGUCCUCCAGCUCUUGCCUAUGAAGCAGACAUCUACUCUCUUAGGAAUAAGUAUUUGGGGCCAGGGAGAUGGCUCCAUGGGUAAUAUUUGGUAUGCAAAUGUAUAACCUCAGCUAGAUUCCUUAGUAUCCACAUAAAAAGCCAGGCAUGGCAAGGUGUGUCAGAAAUCCCAAUGCUAGGGAGGCAGACACAAACGGAUCUCUCUAGAGCUUGCCAGUCAGCCAGCCUAACUGAAGCAUCAAGAUCUGGAUUCGUAGAGAGACCCUGUCUCAAAAAAUAAGAUAAGGAGUAAUUGAGGAUGACCCUUGACAUUGGUUUGUAGCCUUCACACACAGAAAUACACACACAUAUACAUACAUACAUACAUACAUACAUACAUACAUACAUACAUACAUACACAGAGAGAGAGAGAGAGAGAGAAUAUGUGCACAAACAUGUACACACAGAUAAAACAGACACAAACAUUUGCUGCACAGUUCUUUGGGAAACAUUCUGUCCUGGAAAUCUAAUCAGUAGACUUGUAACCAAUGAAAAAGGCAUUUGCUUACUGAGCAAAACUGACUACCAAAGGACCCUCUGAGAAUCUCAUUGUGGUUAUCUGGGAAGGAAUAUUGCAAAACUUGUAUAAUGAAAAGGGUGCAGGAACUAUAGAGUCAGAGAGCUGAGAAGUUUCUACUGUUCCUUCCAAUGUGACUUUGGGGCUCUCUGUUUAUUCACUACCUUAUCAGAAAGACAAUGCAGAGAAAGAAUUAUUACCUAAAGGGAUUCACAAGAACCUGGGGUAGAGAUCACUGAUAUGUGCCAGUACCUAAUUCAGCUUCUGGGCAUGGUGCCUUUUAUCAUAUUAAAUAACCACUGUCUUGUGAGAUGGGGGUAGGGCAUGAAGAGGGCCAAACUAUCAUAUCCAGGGUCCGUAAAACUGCCUGGACCAUGGCCUGACCCUUACCAAGGCCCGACCCUUACCAAGGAAGGAGACUACCAGGAGAGGCAAGACCAUCCAGAGCUGCAGUCUUUGAAGUCUUGUCCCCCACACACCACCAGGUGACAAGAGGAGAUAGAGAGACCCCACCUACACCCACUGGAAGAAGACAUGGGAAGAAGACUGAAUAAGAACACAAUCAACAAUAAAAAGACCAAUAUGACACCA
rnacentral:lncRNA from 1 species